AAUGAACGCUGGCGGCAUGCCUAACACAUGCAAGUCGAACGAGACCUUCGGGACAGCUUGCUCACGGGUGCGUCACGUGUUGGAAGCUUGCCUUAGGUUUGGAAUAACCCUCCGUAAGGGGUGCUAAUAUCGGAUAAUGUCUUCGGACAAAACAUGUAUCGCCUUGGGAUGGGCCCGCGUUGGAUUAGCUAGUUGGUAGGGUAAAAGCCUACCAAGGCGACGAUCCAUAGCUGGUCUGAGAGGAUGAUCAGCCACACUGGGACUGAGACACGGCCCAGACUCCUACGGGAGGCAGCAGUGGGGAAUAUUGCACAAUGGAGGAAAGCCUGAUGCAGCAAGGCCGCGUGAGUGAUGAAGUACUUAGAGAUGUAAAGCUCUUUUAGCCGGGAUGAUAAUGACGGUACCGGAAGAAUAAGCUCCGGCUAACUCCGUG
rnacentral:rRNA from 1 species